rnacentral:lncRNA from 1 species
CAGGGAGCUGCAGGUGAGGAGUGAAGGACCCCAGGAUGGCCUAGGGGUGCAUGGGACUGGGGGUCAGGCACCAGCAGGGGGGUAUAGAUUGGGACAAGUCAUGGAUCUUUGCAAAUGGGUCCCGGUAGGAAAAAGGUUGAGAACCACUGCUCUAAGCCAACCAGUGGAAGAUACCACUUCUAUUUACAGAAGAAGUGAAGACUUGAGGGAAAGCAGAGUGUAGUUUAAUUGGUUUCAUUUGUGAUAGAAAAUAACAGAUCUCUACAGGAAGGGACUACAGUCUGCUACUCUGGGGUGCUUUAUUUGGUGCAAUUAGCCUUAUCUCACACAAUUACGAUAUACAACAAGAAAACAUUAAGAAGUACAAUGAACACCUCCCGAAUACUCGUGUACUCUAGAGGUCGUUGUUAUAAUACACACCACUGUACAUAGUUUUUCUGUAUUUUCUUUCCUUCUUUUUCUGUCUUCUUUUUUCUGAUCCAGUCUUUAAACUUCAUCAGAUGUGAUAACCUAGUUAACAAUUUUAAAAAAACCUCUUUCAGCAUGAAGAUUUACAGGAAGCGGAGUAAAAGGGGUGACUCUGGAUUUACACCGUGUUACUUCUCGGCCCCCAGCGUUUCAGGGAGCAGUGCCUGGGGCUCUGAAGCAAUCAUGGAGGGACCAAGGCUGCAUGCAGAGACCUCCGUCCCACUCCUCACUUGUGUGGAGGGCCAAGUGCGGCAGAGUUGCCUGGUCUUAAAUAUGAAAUUAUCGUAUUGGAAGGUAAAAAUUAUCUUAUCUGCUGAAAAAUUAUUGUAUGCUGAAAAAUAUGCAAAUAAGUCUGCAAAUAAGUAUGCAAUACUUUAUAUUGCUCUCUGUAAGUCACUAAUAAGUGAGUAAGAAAGUGAAAGCAUUCCUUUAUUUUGAGGCAAGCAAUCAUAAGACAGUAUUGGCAGCAAGCCUAAAAGUCAGUUAGAUCUUCCUGAGAGUGAUUUGGGUUUGUAUAUGUUGUAUCAAUCAGCUGCUUUAAAAAUGAUCAUACACUUUGAACACUU